rnacentral:rRNA from 1 species
AAGAGAGUUCACAAGUGCGUGAAACUGCACACUGCAAAGCGAAUGACUGGACAUCAUUAAGUGCGAUCUGCCAUGUGUCUAGCACUGGGUACGUGAGAGUAAGCUGUGUUCUACUCAUGUUCUGUCUCUCUCGCGAGGUACCUUAGUGCAAAGAUGCGCAUCUGAUUGUGUCUUCGGCUGCUCGCUGGGUUGGCAAGAGUGAUGGUCGCUGCCGAACAAGAGUUCCGUCAAGGGGCUYUCUGUACUAGUGGCGCACACAGUGGCUAAUUGCGCACUCCGGUGUGCUUUGGUUGUGUAUCAGGCCAACCCAGUUACGAAAAGGCCUAACUUUGACCGUC